rnacentral:rRNA from 1 species
UACGGGGGGGAGCAAGCGUUGUUCGGAUUUACUGGGCGUAAAGAGCUCGUAGGUGGUUUGUCGCGUUGUUCGUGAAAACUCACAGCUCAACUGUGGGCGUGCGGGCGAUACGGGCAGACUGGAGUACUGCAGGGGAGACUGGAAUUCCUGGUGUAGCGGUGGAAUGCGCAGAUAUCAGGAGGAACACCUAUUGCGAAGGCAGCUCGCUGGGACGUAACUGACGCUGAGACGCGAAAGCGUGGGGAGCAAACAGG